CUCACAUUGAUAUAAGAGCCGCUGGGGACUCUAAUAGAGCUGCUAAUGCCACUUCCUUAGAGAGGACUUUUCUAAUCAUGUUCUGCAAAGUAGUUUCCCUUACCGUUCUGUUUCUCAGCUCCCAGUUUCUUUCCUUCACACCACUUGUAACGGGGGUGAUGAGAGAAAGAGUGAGAAAUCUCUUGAAAAGGAAUCCUGAUGUAUCUCCUGUGGAGGAUAUGUGUGCACAUUUAAUGUGGUCCACACAGGAAGAAAAUUUGUUGGGCUACAUGCUUGGAAGUGGAGAGGGCGCUGAACACUGACUAAGAGGAGAGAGCGCACAUUACAUGGAGACCAUGGUCCCCAUACCAGAAACAUGAGAGUAGAGAGAAGCAAAGCCAGCAUCGUGGAGCCAGUCCCUUUAUCCAGGAUCUUGGAGGGAUACAGUCUUCUGUAGAAAUUAAAUAAAGACUGAAUUCUUCAAUGGGUAUUUUGAGAAGAGAGCCACUGUAAGCUUAUACACUGUGAAUUGCAAAAUGUUACUGCCUCUGGGUGGACAGGUUUUAAAAAGACUUUUUUUUUUCCUCCUGGCAUGGCUGACAGAGGGAAGGCUGGGUUUCAAUCCCAUCUUUCCCUUCCCUUGCCCAGUGCUUCUUUAUGUGCACAACCUGCACAACUAUAUGUGGUUUGCAAACACGCAUAAGCAAAGACUAACAGCUUCUGAAACAAACUCUGAAUAAAAGAGGGAGCAUAUUAAGGCAGAUGGCAGAGGAGGUGAGCAGCAUGGGCAGAUAGAAGCAUCACAGAGACUACAAGAAGAAUGUGCCAGACCGGCUCAUAGUGGCCACACUGAUUAAGAAUUACCAUCAGCUCUUUAGGAUUUGGAAACUUGGAAACACAUUGUGUGUUCUUCCUGGUUUGUUAUAGAGUAUGUGUAUGUACUUCUUUCUCUUAAAAAUAUUUAUUUUUAAAGAAUUGACUUAUAAAAUUAUAUGUAUUUGUCAUGUAUAACACAAUAUUUUGAAGUACAGUCCUGUGUCAUAAGGAUAUGUUCUGAGAAAUCCAUCAAUUUUGUCAUUGUAUAAACAUGAUAGAGUGUAUUUACACAAACCUAGGUGGUAUAAACUACUACACACCUAGGCUACAUAAUGUAGCCUAUUGCUCCUAGGCUAUAAACCUGUAUAACAUGCUACUGUACUAAAUACUAUAGACAAUAGUCACAUACUGGUGAGUAUUUGCGUAUCAAAACAUAUCUAAAUAUAGAAAAGAUGCAGUAAAAAUAUGGUAUUACAAUCUUAUGAGACCACUAUAGUAUAUGAGGUCCAUCAUUGAUUAAAACAUAGUUAUAUGGUGCAUGACUGUAUAUAUGCAUUGUGGAAUGGUUAAAUCUAGCUAACUAACAAAUGUGUUAUAUCACAUAGUUAUUAUUUUUGAGGUGAGAAUACAAUAUUCACUCUCUUAGCAUUUUUUAAGAAUACAGUAUAUUAACUAUAGUCACCAUGCUGAAUGGUAGAUCUCUGGAACUAAUUUCUCCUAUCUAAGUGUGAUUAUGUACCCUUUGACCAACAUCUUUCUAACCCCACCCCACAAACACCCCAUAAUAAAGCCUCUUGUAACCACCAUUUUACUCCUUUUUCUAUGAGAAUGGCCUUCUUUGUCUCUCCUUUUGUCUGUCCUUACAGUUUUUUACUUAAUGUCUAUUUUGCCUGAUAUUAAUACAAGUAUACUUCCUCCUGCUCUCUUUUAGUUUCUACUUGCAUAGAAUAUCUUUUUCUGUUCCUUCAUUUUCAGUCUGUGUGUCCUUAUAGGUAAAGUGAGUCUCCUGUAGGCAGCAGAUAGUUGGGUUGGCUCUUUUUUUUUUUAAUCCAUCCCAGCCACUUUAUGUAUUUUGAUCAGAGACCUUUAUCCUUUUACAACCAAGGUAAUUAUUAGUAGAUAAGGACUUACUACUGACAUUUUGUUUAUUGCUUUCUCAUUGUUUGAUAGAUUGUUGUGUGUGGUUUUUAUUACAGGGUGUAUCUUGAGUCAUCUCAAUUAAUCUUGAUGCUCUUGGUUCCUACAUCGCUGUUAGCAUUGAGGAUGUUAGAGUGCAGAGUAUCAAAACCAGCAUUCAUCAGAAAGAAAGGAUGUUUACACAAACAUUAAGGCAUGGAAGAGAGUCAGUGGGGUGGGGAUGGGAAAGGAAAGAAUAUCCUAGGCUGAGAAAAUCACUGAAGCAAGAAAAUGGUGUAUAUGAGCAUGGGUUCUUUUAGAAACUAUCUUAACACCUGAUCAAAUGUGGGUGUUUCUGAGAAUGCUGAGCUGAUUAUGGCACAUUCUCUGUCCUGGAGAAGCUGGAAGCAUUUUUACAUCUACCCUAUUUGAUCCUCAUACAAAUUUUAUAAAUUAGAUAAGAAACAUCUUAAUAACUAAAAGUCACUGAAGAGGGAACCUUAAAAAAAGUACUUUAAAAAAGUACACAAGACUUAAGUUUACACAACUAACUCUAGGAAUGCUGGGACUGGAACCCAGCUGCCUGGCAAGUACCAUGGUGUUUUCAACCGGAUCAGAGAGGGGUGAGCUUUUUCCUGCUUCUUCCCCAGAGCAGUAAAUUAAAAAAAAAAAAAAGCGUUAUUGCUGUUAUUUUAUUAUGAUGAUUAUUACUAUUAUCAGAUAGUGAGGGGUGAAGGAAGAGAGUACAGCCAGAUUUCUUCAUUUCUCUCUACUAGUGGUAAUGUGUGUGGGGGCAUAAUAAACUCAAUUAAAGGAGUUCUGAGUAUUUGCAGAGCAAGUUUGUUCAUCUGUCUCAACUGCUUUAAAGAUUUUUUAUUUUAAUAAGAUAAAUAGUUAACUCAUCCUGCUAAAUGAAUUUUCUGCUAAUAACCAUAUACCUCUCCCACAACACUAAUCACAAAGUAUAUUUCUAAAGUGAUUCCAGCCCUGUUUGGGGAAUCAGUAUUAUUUACUCUUUUUCCUCUAGUCCCUAGCACAAUGUCUGGGCUAGAGGAUUCAUUUGAUCACUCAGGAAAUAUUCAUUGAGAACCUACUAUGUGGCAGUCACUAUUUUAGGUACUUAGGACAUAGCAGUGAAGAAAGUAGAUAUGAUUCUUUCUCUAAUGCAGCUUAUAUUUUGAUGGAAUAUUUUAGUAUUUCUAUAAAUAAAUAAAGAUAUGUGUUACAAAGAAAAUUAAAGAGAUGUGAUAAUGAUGAAAUGGGAUAAUUUGCUUGGGUGCCCAGGAAGGUUACUUUGAGGAAGUGACAUUGGAACUGAGACUCAAAUGUCAAGUUUUAAAUGUAGGAAAAAGCUUUGCAUGCCUGAAAAAUGGAAAGAUGAAUAUUAUGGCUUGAGGCUGAAGGGGCAAAGGAAGUGGUGUGGAGGUGAGUGGAAAGAUUCCAAGGUGGUCUUUUCACAGAGGAGGGUGAGGGAGCUAGGUAAUGUCAAAAGCUGACCCAUGUUGCUAGGCUGUCAAAAGUACCAGGCUACAAAGAUUCUCCAAAACUUAAUUAAAUUUAAAAAUAUUUGUGCUCCAAAGGACACCAUCAAGAAAGUAAAAAAAUAACCCACCAAAUGGGAGAAAAUAUUGGCAAAUCAUGUAUCUGAUAAGAGGCUUGUAUCCAGAAAUAUAAAGAACUCUUACAAUUCAAUGGAUAAAUAAACCAAUUUAAAAAAUGAGCAAAAGACUUGAAUAAAUGUUUCUUUAAAGAAGAGAUAUAAAUGGCCAAUUAACAAAUGUAAAGAUCCUCUUCAUCUUUAGUUAUCAGAAAAAUGCAAAUCAAAUCAUGAAAUACUCUCUCAAACCCACUAGAUGGCUAGAAUUUAAAAAGUCAGUAACAAGUUGUUGGCAAGGAUAUAUGGAAAACAAUCCUCAUACCCUUCUGGGAAUGUAAAUGGGAAUGUUAAAUGGUGCAGCUGCUUUAAAUGUCAAAUGGUCCAGCAAUUCUAUUUCUACAUAUAUAUACCCAAGAGAAAUGAAAGCAUAUGCCUCAACAAAAACUUGUACACAAAUGGCAUUAUUCAUAAUAGCCAAAGAUGGGAAUAACUCAAAUGACCAUCGACUGAUAAAUGAACAAACAAAAUGUGGCAUAUCCAUACAGUGGAACUGGCCAUAAAAGGAAUAAAAUGCUAAUACAUGCUAUAACAUGGAUGGACCUUGAAAACAUGAUGGUAAGUGAAAGAAGCCAGUCACAAAGGGCCACAUAUAUCAUUCCAUUCACAUCAAGUUUCCAGAACAGAGAAUUCUAUACAGUCAGAAAGUAAAUUAGUAGUUGCUUGGUGGUGGGGGAUGGGAAGACAGGGUAGUAGUUAAAGGGUACAGGAUUUCUUUUUGAGGUGAUGAACAUGUUCUAAAAUUUGCUGUGGAGAUGGUUGCAUAAAUCUGUAAACAUAUUAAAAGUCAUUAAAUUGUACACUUGAAAUGGGUGAACUGUAUGGUGUGUGAAAUAUAUCUUAAUAAAGCUAUUUUAAAAAAACACUAAAAAAGCUCCCAAAGCCUAAGGUACACUUUAUACUACUAAGAGAUUCAGGCUCUUCAGAUAAAAUUUACUACUUCCAGAUUAGAAUACUUCUGUGCCCAAGGGAGAAUCAUCAAUGAGGCUAUUCUUAGAACACAAAGCUUUCCUUCCUAAAAUACUGGAAAGGAGCAACACCUUGAACACCACAGGAAACCCAUAAAUAUCUAAUUUGCA
rnacentral:lncRNA from 1 species